GGGGUUGUGGCUCAGUGGUAGAGCACUCACCUAGCAUGUGUGAGGCCCUGGGUUCAAUCCUCAGCACCACA
rnacentral:tRNA from 1 species